rnacentral:misc_RNA from 1 species
AGGUGAGAUUCAUUUUUAUCCACUAAAAUAUACUAAAAGUAUAAUUAAUUAUAAUUAAAAUUUAAAUUUACACUUAAAGAUGAUUUAAUAUCGUUGAGUUAAAGCUUAUUGAUAAAAAAAAAAAGUUUAAUUACUUUUGUAACCAAAUUACCUAAAAUAAAAUAAAAUAAAAUGUUUGGUUUUUGAUGAGGUGAAUGCAUGCCAUAUAUUAUAUAGGAGUUUCAUCACGGCCAAAGUUACAUAUAUGUUCAACUUGAGAAGAUCCUUAUCCCAAGAGCUGCCCAAUGAUCAAUAGUUAUGGUUAUUAUGUUAAUUUACAUGGGAGAUAGUGUUAUGGUAGGAAUUCACAGCUUGGUAGCGAGUAAGAGCUUAUUAACUUUUUAUAAUCAUAUUAUAUUCUAUUAUUUUUAAUAAUUGUUGACUUUUUCUUAUAAUAAAUAUGUGUAACGAGUUAUAAUUAUUCCAAAUAGUUUGUGAUCUGUAUAUUGAUUAUUGGGCAGUGGAUAUUGACGACAUGGACAGAUGAUGAAUGCAAGUUGAUAAUGGAAAAUUGUUACAAGGCACUUCCUGUAGGAGGGAAACUAAUAGCUUGUGAGCCAGUGUUGCCAAAGGAUUCCGAUGACAGCCAUAGGACAAGAGCUCUCUUGGAAGGUGACAUAU